AGCCAUGCGAGUCGAGAGGGGUAAGCCCUCGGCGAACUGCUCAGUAACACGUGGAUAAUCUACCCUGAGGAGGAGGAUAAUCCCGGGAAACUGGGUCUAAUACUCCAUAGAUUGGAUGAACUGGAAUGUCAUUCAAUCGAAAGAUCCGUCGCCUCAGGAUGAGUCUGCGUCCGAUUAGGUAGUUGUUGGGGUUACGGCCCAACAAGCCGAUAAUCGGUACGGGUUGUGGGAGCAAGAGCCCGGAGAUGGAUUCUGAGACACGAAUCCAGGCCCUACGGGGCGCAGCAGGCGCGAAACCUUUACAAUGCGGGCAACCGUGAUAAGGAAACCCCGAGUGCCCGUAAACGCGGGCUGUCCAUCUGUUUAAAACGCAGGUGAAGAAAGGGCCGGGCAAGACCGGUGCCAGCCGCCGCGGUAAUACCGGCGGCUCGAGUGGUGGCCACUAUUACUGGGCUUAAAGGGUCCGUAGCUUGAGCAAUAAGUCCCUUGGGAAAUUCAGCAGCUUAACUGGUGAUAGUUCAGGGGAAACUGUAGUUCUAGGGAUCGGGAGAGGUAAGAGGUACUGCCGGGGUAGGAGUGAAAUCCUGUAAUCCCGGUGGGACCACCGAUGGCGAAGGCACCUUACCAGAACGACUCCGACAGUGAGGGACGAAAGCUGGGGGAGCAAACCGGAUUAGAUACCCGGGUAGUCCCAGCCGUAAACGAUGCGCGUUAGGUGUGUCAGUGACCACGUGUCACUGAGGUGCCGAAGGGAAACCGUGAAACGUGCCGCCUGGGAAGUACGGUCGCAAGGCUGAAACUUAAAGGAAUUGGCGGGGGAGCACCACAACAGGUGGAGCCUGCGGUUUAAUUGGA
rnacentral:rRNA from 1 species